AGUGAACGCUGGCGGUAGGCCUAACACAUGCAAGUCGAACGGCAGCACAGUAAGAGCUUGCUCUUACGGGUGGCGAGUGGCGGACGGGUGAGGAAUACAUCGGAAUCUACUUUUUCGUGGGGGAUAACGUAGGGAAACUUACUCUAAUACCGCAUACGACCUACGGGUGAAAGCAGGGGAUCUUCGGACCUUGCGCGAUUGAAUGAGCCGAUGUCGGAUUAGCUAGUUGGCGGGGUAAAGGCCCACCAAGGCGACGAUCCGUAGCUGGUCUGAGAGAAUGAUCAGCCACACUGGAACUGAGACACGGUCCAGACUCCUACGGGAGGCAGCAGUGGGGAAUAUUGGACAAUGGGCGCAAGCCUGAUCCAGCCAUACCGCGUGGGUGAAGAAGGCCUUCGGGUUGUAAAGCCCUUUUGUUGGGAAAGAAAAGCAGCAGGUUAAUACCCCGCUGUUCUGACGGUACCCAAAGAAUAAGCACCGGCUAACUUCGUG
rnacentral:rRNA from 1 species